rnacentral:tRNA from 1 species
GCCUUCGUGGUCUAGUUGGUCAUGACGUCGGUCUCAUAUCCUUCAAACCUUUAAAGGUUUCUUAUGACAUUCUUGGUAACAAGAUUGACAUCCGAAGGUCUCCAGUUCGAACCUGGACGAGGGCA